rnacentral:tRNA from 1 species
GCCCAUAUGGCUCAGUUGGUAGAGCGUCACCUUGGUAAGGUGGAGGUCAGCGGUUCGAUUCCGCUUAUGGGCUCCA